GACGAACGCUGGCGGCGUGCUUAACACAUGCAAGUCGAACGGAAAGGCCCUGCUUGCAGGGUACUCGAGUGGCGAACGGGUGAGUAACACGUGGGUGAUCUGCCCUGCACUUCGGGAUAAGCUUGGGAAACUGGGUCUAAUACCGGAUAGGAGCCAUCUUUAGUGUGGUGGUUGGAAAGUUUUUUCGGUGUAGGAUGAGCUCGCGGCCUAUCAGCUUGUUGGUGGGGUAAUGGCCUGCCAAGGCGGCGACGGGUAGCCGGCCUGAGAGGGUGUACGGCCACAUUGGGACUGAGAUACGGCCCAGACUCCUACGGGAGGCAGCAGUGGGGAAUAUUGCACAAUGGGCGCAAGCCUGAUGCAGCGACGCCGCGUGGGGGAUGAAGGCCUUCGGGUUGUAAACUCCUUUCGCUAGGGACGAAGCUUUGUUGUGACGGUACCUAGAUAAGAAGCACCGGCUAACUACGUG
rnacentral:rRNA from 1 species